rnacentral:rRNA from 1 species
GACGAACGCUGGCGGCGUGCUUAACACAUGCAAGUCGAACGGAAAGGCCCUGCUUUUGUGGGGUGCUCGAGUGGCGAACGGGUGAGUAACACGUGAGUAACCUGCCCUUGACUUUGGGAUAACUUCAGGAAACUGGGGCUAAUACCGGAUAGGAGCUCCUGCUGCAUGGUGGGGGUUGGAAAGUUUCGGCGGUUGGGGAUGGACUCGCGGCUUAUCAGCUUGUUGGUGGGGUAGUGGCUUACCAAGGCUUUGACGGGUAGCCGGCCUGAGAGGGUGACCGGCCACAUUGGGACUGAGAUACGGCCCAGACUCCUACGGGAGGCAGCAGUGGGGAGUAUUGCACAAUGGGGGGAAGCCUGAUGCGGCAACGCCGGGUGCGGGAUGACGGCCUUCGGGUUGUAAACCGCUUUCGCCUGUGACGAAGCGUGAGUGACGGUAAUGGGUAAAGAAGCACCGGCUAACUACGUG